rnacentral:misc_RNA from 1 species
CAGAGUUCAUGCCCUCACGGGUAGAUCUCCCACCCUUGUAUAACAUACCUUUGUUGCUUUGGCAGGCCGCGCUUGCGCCAGAGGCUUCGGCUUUUGUGUGCCUGCCAGAGGAUCACAACUCUUGUUUUUAGUGAUGUCUGAGUACUAUAUAAUAGUUA